GUGGGGAAUAUUGCACAAUGGGCGAAAGCCUGAUGCAGCAACGCCGCGUGAGGGACGACGGCCUUCGGGUUGUAAACCUCUUUUAGUAGGGAAGAAGCGAAAGUGACGGUACCUGCAGAAAAAGCACCGGCUAACUACGUGCCAGCAGCCGCGGUAAUACGUAGGGUGCAAGCGUUAUCCGGAAUUAUUGGGCGUAAAGAGCUCGUAGGCGGUCUGUCGCGUCUGCUGUGAAAACUGGAGGCUCAACCUCCAGCCUGCAGUGGGUACGGGCAGACUAGAGUGCGGUAGGGGAGAUUGGAAUUCCUGGUGUAGCGGUGGAAUGCGCAGAUAUCAGGAGGAACACCGAUGGCGAAGGCAGAUCUCUGGGCCGUAACUGACGCUGAGGAGCGAAAGCGUGGGGAGCGAUCAGGAUUAGAAACCCGAGUAGUCC
rnacentral:rRNA from 1 species